UACGUAGGUGGCAAGCGUUGUCCGGAAUUAUUGGGCGUAAAGCGCGCGCAGGCGGUCCUUUAAGUCUGAUGUGAAAGCCCACGGCUCAACCGUGGAGGGUCAUUGGAAACUGGGGACUUGAGUACAGAAGAGGAAAGCGGAAUUCCACGUGUAGCGGUGAAAUGCGUAGAGAUGUGGAGGAACACCAGUGGCGAAGGCGGCUUUCUGGUCUGUAACUGACGCUGAGGGCGCGAAAGCGUGGG
rnacentral:rRNA from 1 species